GACGAACGCUGGCGGCGUGCUUAACACAUGCAAGUCGAACGGAAAGGCCCUGCUUUUGUGGGGUGCUCGAGUGGCGAACGGGUGAGUAACACGUGAGUAACCUGCCCUUGACUUUGGGAUAACUUCAGGAAACUGGGGCUAAUACCGGAUAGGAGCUCCUGCUGCAUGGUGGGGGUUGGAAAGUUUCGGCGGUUGGGGAUGGACUCGCGGCUCAUCAGCUUGUUGGUGGGGUAGUGGCUUACCAAGGCUUUGACGGGUAGCCGGCCUGAGAGGGUGACCGGCCACAUUGGGACUGAGAUACGGCCCAGACUCCUACGGGAGGCAGCUGUGGGGAAUAUUGCACAAUGGGCGGAAGCCUGAUGCAGCAACGCCGCGUGCGGGAUGACGGCCUUCGGGUUGUAAACCGCUUUCGCCUGUGACGAAGCGUGAGUGACGGUAAUGGGUAAAGAAGCACCGGCUAACUACGUG
rnacentral:rRNA from 1 species